UACGAAGGGGGCUAGCGUUGCUCGGAAUCACUGGGCGUAAAGGGUGCGUAGGCGGGUCUUUAAGUCAGGGGUGAAAUCCUGGAGCUCAACUCCAGAACUGCCUUUGAUACUGAAGAUCUUGAGUUCGGGAGAGGUGAGUGGAACUGCGAGUGUAGAGGUGAAAUUCGUAGAUAUUCGCAAGAACACCAGUGGCGAAGGCGGCUCACUGGCCCGAUACUGACGCUGAGGCACGAAAGCGUGGGGAAGCAACAGGG
rnacentral:rRNA from 1 species